rnacentral:lncRNA from 1 species
UUUUACAGCCUACCGGGAACAUGUCUUACAAAGGCCUGUGAAACGCAGUUUCUUCCCAGACCUGAUCUCGCUGAAGUAGAACUUCUGCUCUGCCGUGUCCUACAUGGGCCUAGAGCUGAAAGGGACAAAUCCUGUCUUGUGUCCUCAAGGGCAGACUGGUCCCACAGCGUCCGGCUUCCAGCUCUUUGGGCAGCUGAGAAACAGCUUGCUCUGCACUGCUCUUUUACAGCUGACCGGGAACAUGUCUUACAAAGGCCUGUGAAACGCAGUUUCUUCCCAGACCAGAUCUCGCUGAAGUAGAACUUCCGCCCUGCCGUGUCCUACAUGGGCCUAGACCUCAAAGGGAGAAAGUCCAGCCUUGUGUCCAUAAGGGCAGAGAGGCCCCACCGCGUCCGGCUUCCAGCUCUUUUGCAGUCUAAGAAACAACUCGCUCUGCACAGGGCUCUUACAGCCUACCGGGAACAUGUCUUACAAAGGCCUGUGAGACGCAGUUUCUUCCCAGGCCUGAUCUCGCUGAAGUAGAACUUCUGCUCUGCCGUGUCCUACAUGGGCCUAGAGCUGAAAGGGACAAAGUCCUCU